UCACUGACUUGGCUGGACCUAGAACUAAGUUCUAAGAAUUUAGUACAGGAUUCCAUUCACUGGAACUGUCAGACUUUCUUUAUGCCCUCUACUAUUUAGACACAGAUCCAAGUACUGGGGUAUACAUAAAGAUACAUAUGCAUUUAUAAAUCAGAUGAUAAGAUGUCUGGGAUUUUCUUUAACAUGUCACCAGAUAUUCUACACAUGCAGAGUAUUCUCUCUACUUUUAUGUGUCGGCACAUGACCUGAGGAAGUCAACCAGCACUUUGAGGGGGAUUAUAUAGAUGGUGAAGAAGACAGAACAUUGCCUGAUACUUCCUACACUGAGAAGCAUGAAACUCUAGAGCUGGUGGGGGUUCUUUUGCUGCAAUACUGUAAGAGCCUGCCUGCAAAUGAAGUCAACAGAGAAAAAGCAGAGCUGAAGAAGAAUAAAAGGAGACAGAUUCUUGACAAUAUGGGUUGAUCCCCAAAUUCUAGCUGUGCCUAAAGUAUUCAUAGGCUUGUUGUUGGUUAUGUGAGCUAGUAAAUUCUUUCCCUUGCUUGGGAGAGUUUGAGUUGGAUCUUUGUCACUUGCAACCCAAGAGUCCUGGCUAACUCAGAUGCACAAGCAAAACCAUAAACCAGGAACUUGGAACUUAUUUUCUGCUUAACCGAAAACUGAAUUCUCUACUUGUGACAAUGGGGGUGUCACUUCUCUGCUCACAACCCUCCAGUACCUUCUCAUCUUACCAGAGAAAAGGCCAGAUGUCCACACAUGGCCACAGGUCCCAACAUGGUCUAGCCUGUCCCCUCCCUUUUCCCCCCACUUUGUUCAUUAUACAUCAGGUAUCCUGACUUGGUGUUCCUUACACACGCCAAGCAUGCUCCCACCAGAGGGCCUUCCUUCGCAUGUGCUGUUCCCUCUACCUAAUGUAUGCGACUCACAGUGAACUGUUUGACCCAAUUCAGGUAUGUGUUCACAUGUCAACUUUCCUCACCCCCCAUCUAAAAUCUUCCUUUCCCUCUCUGUAUUAGUCCCAUAGGGCUACAAUAAUAAAGCACCACAAACUGAGUGUCUUGAACAACAGAAAUUUGUUGUCUCACAGUUCUGGUGGCGAGAAGUCUGAGAUCAGGUUGUCAGCUGAGUUGUUUUGUUCAGCAGGCUACGAGGAAGAAUCUGUGCUGUGCCUCUCUGCUAGCUUCUGGUGGUUUGGUGACGGUCUUCAGUGUUCCUUGGCUUGCAGAAGCAUUGCCCUGAUCUCUGCCUUUUUCUUUACAUGGCAUUCUCCCUGUGUGCAUGUCUGUGUCCAGAUUUCCCUAUUGUAUAAGGACACUAGUCAUCUGAGAUUAGGGUCCAUCCUAGUGCUCUCGUUUUGACCUGAUCAUCUUCAAAGAACCUCUUUCCAAAUAAUAUCACAUUCCCAGUACUGGAGGUUGGAAUUUGGUGGGGGGAACACAAUUCAUCUUGUAGCCCCCCACUUAUGCUGCCCUAUUUUUUUCUUUGCAGUAUAUAUCACCAUCUGAUAUAUUAUAUACUUAUGUUUUUACUAGCUUAAUGUCACUCUUCCCCCAGACUAGGAUGUAAGUUCCAGGAACACAUGGAUGUCAUGUUACACCCACAGCACUUAAAACAGUGCCUAGUAUAUGGAGGUAUGCAAUCAAUAUCUGUUAAGUGAGUGAAUACUAAACAGGGAAAUAGGCUCUCCGAUUUUAAGAUACUAAAAUUUGAAACUUCUUUUUGCAUAAUCAACUAUUUGA